rnacentral:tRNA from 1 species
GGCUCUGUGGUGCAAUGGAUAGCGCAUUGGACUUCUAAUUCAAAGGCUGUGGGUUCAAGUCCCCCCAGAGUCA